rnacentral:misc_RNA from 1 species
UCGGCGGCGCCUUCUUCUCCCCUGCGCGCGCACACACACGCACGGUCGCAUCAUCAGCAAUAACAAAGACAAGGGAGCUACUUUUGCUCUCCCCCUAAUUCCGCCGGAGGCACGGAGACCGCCGCGGCUGCCGUUGCAGCUCGCGCUGGCGCAUGCCCUCUCAAGGAUCAACGCGUCACGAAGAAAGGAAGAAGCAUACUGCUACUCAAGAACCGCCAGACGGGAGCUCGUGGGGGGGAACACGGAGGAGCAUAAAUGCAGAAUAAUCAUGCACUUCUCCGCGCCAGUGGCCGGCGACGACCGCGACGGCGAGGUCAGCGGCGUCUUUUUUUCUCUCUCCUUUGUGAACAGAAGAAAAAACCCACCGCAAAUCUCCAGAAAUCACAGAAGCCGAAGAAGAACGCUUUGGGAAAGAAAAAAACCGCGGCCAGAAGUCCAGCCGGGAAAACAAAAGGGGCUUUCCGAUCCCACCCACCACGAAGAAUAGCUCGAUAUAAAGCCAAGAUGACACUAUUCCAUUCCCGCCAGGCUGCCAUCAACAAGCGCUGCAUACCUUCACAUGCGCUGGGCGGCGGC